rnacentral:rRNA from 1 species
GAUGAACGCUGGCGGCGUGCCUAAUACAUGCAAGUCGAGCGAACGGACGAGAAGCUUGCUUUUCUGAUGUUAGCGGCGGACGGGUGAGUAACACGUGGAUAACCUACCUAUAAGACUGGGAUAACUUCGGGAAACCGGAGCUAAUACCGGAUAAUAUUUUGAACCGCAUGGUUCAAAAGUGAAAGACGGUCUUGCUGUCACUUAUAGAUGGAUCCGCGCUGCAUUAGCUAGUUGGUAAGGUAACGGCUUACCAAGGCAACGAUGCAUAGCCGACCUGAGAGGGUGAUCGGCCACACUGGAACUGAGACACGGUCCAGACUCCUACGGGAGGCAGCAGUAGGGAAUCUUCCGCAAUGGGCGAAAGCCUGACAGAGCAACGCCGCGUGAGUGAUGAAGGUCUUCGGAUCGUAAAACUCUGCUAUUAGGGAAGAACAUAUGUGUAAGUAACUGUGCACAUCUUGACGGUACCUAAUCAGAAAGCCACGGCUAACUACGUG